rnacentral:lncRNA from 1 species
UGGACACACAUAAGGUUUUGCAUUCAAUUUUAUCCUUAAAAUUGGGUGUGACAUCUUGUUUGAACAACAAUGCAAAAAAUUUAAUCAUGAAAGGCUGUUAGAAAUGGAGAUCAUAGAGCACUACCAUCGGAGCUAGCAUCCUUCAUCUUAUCUAAGAUAUUAGAAAGAAAAGGAGUAUUCUCCAUUGCAUGGUCUCCGAUGUACAAGUAACAGUAUGAGCCAGAGCAGCUCGCUAGACUAUUAUAAUUUCAUUUUUGUUUUGAGGGAUAAAGAUCUUGAUAAGUACAUUUAAACUGUAACUGCAACAUUUGUAAUGUUUGACGUUGAUGGAUUUGUUGGUCCACCUAGCAAUAUAAAGCAAAACCUGAUUCCACAAAAAAAUAUAAAAUAAUAAAUGCAAAAAAAAGAUAACAGUCAGUUAGCACAAAACCAGCAGUAUGAUAAACAGAGCACUGCCGACUUGAGCUUCAAGGGUGUUAUUCAAGACAUCACUGUUGGCUUGAGCUACAAGCUGACAGUGUUGACAUCACUGCCGGC